rnacentral:rRNA from 1 species
UAGGGAAUAUUGGUCAAUGGAUGGAAGUCUGAACCAGCCAUGCCGCGUGCAGGAAGACGGCCUUCUGGGUUGUAAACUGCUUUUGCCAGGGGAUAAAGAGCCCAUGCGUGGGAAGUUGAAGGUACCUGGUGAAUAAGCCACGGCUAACUACGUGCCAGCAGCCGCGGUAAUACGUAGGUGGCGAGCGUUGUCCGGAUUUAUUGGGUUUAAAGGGUGCGUAGGCGGCUCAGUAAGUCAGUGCUGAAAUACCCCGGCUUAACCGGGGGGGUGGCAUUGAUACUGUUGAGCUUGAGUACAGAUGAGGUAGGCGGAAUUGACGGUGUAGCGGUGAAAUGCAUAGAUAUCGUCAAGAACACCGAUAGCGAAGGCAGCUUACUAAGCUGUAACUGACGCUGAUGCACGAAAGUGUGGGGAUCAAACAGGAUUAGAUACCCUGGUAGUCCACACUGUAAACGUUGAUGACUCGCUGUUGGCGAUAUACGGUCAGCGGCCAAGCGAAA